CUUGUCUUGAAGAGGGAAGAUACAUUUAGAACACCACUUAUGGGUUGGAAUGUACAGGGAAGGACCUAUCAAGUAAUCAAAGAAACCUCUUUAGAUGUUUUUGCUGGCUUUAGGGCUGAAAGAGAACAAAAUAGAUGAACGUUCUUUAGAACAGAAAGACGUCCUGCCUUGCCAGGAACUGAGGCAGGUCCAAGCAGCAGACCAGCUUUUUCUACAAAAUCUGUAACUUUGGCUGUAGGGAUUGGUGAGAAAACUGGUGUUUUUUUUGUGCCAAUAUCUGCAA